UACGGAGGGUGCAAGCGUUAUCCGGAUUCACUGGGUUUAAAGGGUGCGUAGGUGGGUUGGUAAGUCAGCGGUGAAAUCUCCAGGCUUAACUUGGAAACUGCCAUUGAUACUAUCAAUCUUGAAUACCGUGGAGGUCAGCGGAAUAUGUCAUGUAGCGGUGAAAUGCUUAGAUAUGACAUAGAACACCAAUUGCGAAGGCAGCUGGCUACGCAUAUAUUGACACUGAGGCACGAAAGCGUGGGGAUCAAACAGG
rnacentral:rRNA from 1 species